rnacentral:lncRNA from 1 species
ACAGUAGAAGAGUCCAGCAGAACAAAGUUGGAAGCAGAGGGAGUGAAUCUAAACCUAUGGACAGAUUCAUCUUGGAAACCCUAAGUGAGGCUAAAGGGAGAAAACAAAUUGGAAGGAGAUUUAAAGGAUUCUCAAAUACAAACUGAAGUUUUCAAGAACAGGAUCAUGAAGGACAGUAAAAAUCAGGAAUUGCCAAACUUUGUCACAAUGGCUGUACAACAUCAGUGAGCCGAAGUCAUACCACUGCAUUACAGCCCGGGCGACAGAGAAAGACUCCAUCUC